rnacentral:rRNA from 1 species
GCUUGUCUCAAAGAUUAAGCCAUGCAUGUCUAAGUAUAAACGAUUUUAUACGUGAAACUGCGAAUGGCUCAUUAUAUCAGUUAUAGUUUAUUUGAUGGUCCUUACUAUUUGGAUAACCGUAGUAAUUCUAGAGCUAAUACAUGCGAAAAGACCCGACUUCUCGGAAGGGUUGCAUUUAUUAGAUACAAAACCAAUGCGGGGGCAACUCCGGUGUCUUGGUGAUUCAUAAUAACUUUUGCGGAUCGCAUGGCCUUGAGCCGGCGACGAAUCAUUCAAAUUUCUGCCCUAUCAACUUUCGAUGGUACGGUAUUGGCCUACCAUGGUUACCACGGGUAACGGGGAAUUAGGGUUCGGUUCCGGAGAGGGGGCCUGAGAAAUGGCCACCACAUCCAAGGAAGGCAGCAGG